AAUAAGGUUUUCAUUUAAUAUAAAAAAAAUAAAAAAAAAAAUUAAAAUUUUAUUCAGGGUUGUCAAGAUAAGUUACUUUCACAUUUUUAUUUUAAUAAAUAAAAUUGUCAUACACGAUAUACGAUACACUUGUAUACCUAAAUUAUAUAAAUCAUCGACGAAGCAUAACAUAGUGAUCAGUGAUGCGUUUUGUCGAUUUGAUUGCUGAAUGCUGAAUACCAGGAACCGAUCGGUAAUUGAAUCGCAGCACUCAAAAUAAAAUAGGUUUAAAAUAUUUAAAUAUAAACGCGUUAUCGUGGCCAGACUGGACCGAUUUUCGGAACCGAUUAAAUUAUUAAAUACCGUCGCGAAGCGAACCGUCCCGAAUGUUCCGAUGCGAGCACAACACACACAAAAUUCAGUUUGUUUGAUUACACUUGUGCGGAAUAUUGGUGAUCGGUGAUCGUAAUUGAAAAUUUCGUGAAUAAUUAGUAAUUUUUUUUUAAUUUUAAUGAUUAAAAAAACUUUUUUACAAUAUAUUAGUAAUAUAUAUUUAUGUAUUAUUAUAUUUAAUUUAUAUUAUAGAUGUAUAUUGUUACUUUAUUAGUAUAAUUAUUCGAUACAUGUUUUAAAAACAAUUUAAUCGAAUCAACAUGAUCUUUUUGUUAUUUUUUUUAAAAUAUUGUUGUUUAAGUUUUCAAUAAAUUAUGUUUGAUACUGGAAAAUUGAUUUUUGAGGCAACACUUUCUAUGCCUCUGAACAUGAGUUCUCCAUUGUACCUACAGUAAAAGAGAUUUAAAAAGGUUUUGUUGGCGCAGUGGUAGAGUGUUUGCAGUGUUUGUACCCCAAAUGGUUGAGUCUCGACGACAAAGAAAAAUAAAAAAAAGGUGUAUGUUUGGUCAUAAAAUAGAGACGCCUAUAUCGAAUGAGUAAGACAGUUGGUCGAACGGGGAGACUGAACGAAACAUUUAUCGGAGUUGCGAUUUCGUCUAUUCGUCACCAGAGCAUAGUGGUAGCUCUCCCACCUACCCACUCACUCGCAGCUACCAAUAGUUAUGUAUAUACGUAUAUUGGUCUGCGUUGACGUGGCACACCAGAAGAAAAGUUACUCGGACGUCACCCUCUAUACUUGACGGGUCCUGUCGGAAACUGAAUGCGUAUUAAAGUUCGGUACGGGUUUGACGACGACAACUGAGUAUAAUAAUUAUAAUCAACUAUGAAGAGAAUUUGUUUUUGCUUUUUUGUUUAUUAUCCAUUCGAAUACCGACGAGACGGGAAAACGUGAUAUACAGUUGAUGAAAUCUAAAGAUGAGUAUACAACAUGCUAUACGAUGCAAUAUCAUAUAAUGCUGUACUGAGUGGAUUACAUUUUCCCGUCAGUUUAUACAAUUUAUAUAUGUUAGAAAAAAAAUUAAUAAAUAUUAAAUCAUUUUAUAAUAUUUUCACGGACACACAUAAAAGCAAGCGUUUUCUAGCUUUCUGUUUUUACGAUAAGGGAUUUUUAAGUUUUCAUUACAAGCAUAUUAUGUGAAGUUGUUUGAUAUUUACAGCCAAGGAUGUCGCUACCUUUUUCAUUAUGUACUUUAAGGAUAAAAGGUAGCAAAAUUCGGUUUUUCAUUGCGGGGAUACCAUAUAUAUAUAUAUAUUUAUGCUAACUUAUGAUUCCAUGUAAUAUACACGCGAGCCAUUUCCUUUAAAUUCGACAUUAUAGAAACGGAAGUUUAAGUUUUUUUUUUGUAAAGGGUCAGUUUAAAAAAAUGAAAAUAUAUACUUUUUCGUAAGACUGCAAUAUCAUCGUAUAUAUUAUGAACACAAUUCUAUUAGGAAGGACCGUUUUCUGAAUUAACCGAUAAUAUUGGUCGUAUACAUUAUAACAUUAUAUUCAUCACCGCAUAAUCGAUUUAUUGAGUUGUAUUUUUAGGUGAAAUAAACAUAUGUUACAUACUUAUUUAGAUAGAUAUACUAAAUUAAAGUUUAUGACAUUUAAAUUGAG